rnacentral:rRNA from 1 species
AGAGCGAACGCUGGCGGCAGGCCUAAUACAUGCAAGUCGAACGAAUCCUUCGGGAUUAGUGGCGGACGGGUGAGUAACACGUGGGAACGUGCCCUUUGGUUCGGAACAACUCAGGGAAACUUGAGCUAAUACCGAAUGUGCCCUUCGGGGGAAAGAUUUAUCGCCAUUGGAGCGGCCCGCGUCUGAUUAGCUAGUUGGUGAGGUAAAGGCUUACCAAGGCUACGAUCAGUAGCUGGUCUGAGAGGAUGAUCAGCCACACUGGGACUGAGACACGGCCCAGACUCCUACGGGAGGCAGCAGUGGGGAAUAUUGCGCAAUGGGCGAAAGCCUGACGCAGCGACGCCGCGUGGGGGAUGAAGGCCUUCGGGUUGUAAACCCCUUUCAGCAGGGACGAAGCGAAAGUGACGGUACCUGCAGAAGAAGCGCCGGCUAACUACGUGCCAGCAGCCGC